UUUUUUUAUCCCUCCAUAAGAUUAAUAUCUGUUAUCAGGGUAUUAUAAACCUCUCUUGUUAUAUUGUUUUUAUGGACAUUGUACCAGAUUACUCCCUUUUCCAUCUCCAUUUGGUUUUGAAUUUGGCCCUUUAGUUGGUAUACAUUGAGGAUAUCAGUUUUUUUCCAUGCUUUUGCAAUCAGCAACUUAGUAGCCAUUAGGCAAUGAGUGACUAGUAUUUUGUUUUUUUUGUCUAAUUUAUUAUUAUACAUGUGGAAUAGGGCUAUUUCUGGAGUAAAAUUUAAUUGGAUAUUACUUAUCGCCGUUAUUAUUUUAAAUGUCAGGUCCCAUAGUGGUUGGAUUCUAGGACAAUUCCACCAUAUGUGGGUCAUAGAGCCAUCCAAAUUAAAACAUUUCCAGCAGUUAGGG